UACGACUACAUAUCAGGCAUAUCAAUAAGCGGAGGAAAAGAAACUAACUAGGAUUCCCCUAGUAACGGCGAGUGAAGCGGGAAGAGCUCAAAUUUGAAAUCUUCAAGGUUUUACCUUGACGAAUUGUAGUUUAAAGAAGUGUUUUCUGUUGAAGUUUCGGUAAAAGUUCUUUGGAAUAGGACAUCAUAGAGGGUGAGAAUCCCGUAUUUGACGUCAUUCCUCCUAGCGUUGUGAUACACUUUCAACGAGUCGGAUUGUUUGGGAAUGCAGUCCAAAAUGGGUGGUAAAUUUCAUCUAAAGCUAAAUAUUGGCGAGAGACCGAUAGCGAACAAGUACCGUGAGGGAAAGAUGAAAAGAACUUUGAAAAGAGAGUUAAACAGUACGUGAAAUUGUCAAAAGGGAAGCGUUUGACACCAGUGUUGUUUUUCGAAAAUCAAUUCAAUAGUUUUUGAUUCUAAGCAGUAUUGACUUCAUCAGCUUGCUGCUUUCUUCUCAGAAAUUAUUGAAUGCACUUUUCAGUUAACAAGUCAACAUCAAUUUCUUUUGUUGUAAAAGGGUCAUUGGAAGGUGGCUUUCACUUCGGUGAAAGUGUUUAUAGCCUUUGACUUCUGCAAUCGGAGAGAUUGAGGUCUGCAGCGUAGAUCCUUCGGGGUUAGAUACAUUUGUGCUAAGUUAUAGCUUUUCAUAGACAACUUGUUGACUAUGUUUAGUCUUGUAGCUUACUCGCUUAUGCUAUCUUACCUACGCUUAGGAUGUUGAACGCGCACAGAGUCUC
rnacentral:rRNA from 1 species